UGAAAAGAAAAGUAUCGUCCUUGCAUGCAAAACAACAUGAAUUUUGAUUUACAGAUCUGUCAAAUUAAACGUCUUCAAAUACAUUUUAACAAUAAUAAAUAACUAAUACUAAGUUAGUAUUACUAACUUCGACUUGGGGCCAUCCUAAGAUUUCACAAAACAUCAUCAAAGGGUACACAAAACUAAUGUACAAUCAACUUUCUGUGAUAUUUGUGGAUCUUCAUUUCCAUCAACUAAUUUUUGCAUUCAGUGGCGGAGACAUUUUUACAUGCACUCGUCCUAUAGGUGCAGCUAUCUCUAGAUCCGUGGGUUCUACAUAGUUAGUUCUCAUCAUAUCCGUGGUCAUCAUGUAUUUGUAGCGUACAACUUGAUGUACGCUACAAUUAGCUAAUAUUAGCAAUUGUUUCAUAAACUAUAGUAUUUCUUAUAGCUAUAAAAACAAAUUUUGUUGUCAGAUUUGGAAGGUGCUCACAUCAAAGAGGUACAUCCAGCUCAAAGUAAUGUAAGGGAUUGUAAAUAAUAUACGUAUGUAUGUGACAAAGUGCUUCCAACCUCAAAAAGAUAUUUUAUAAGUUGAUAAUCAAUCCGCACAUUUUCAAUGCGUUUGCGGAGAGAAUUUCAAAUCAAAGCCCACGAGAAGAGGUUUUUAUGCAUGUAAUUGUAUUGUUGAAUAUGAAAAUUCAUAAAAAAGAGAAAGUUCAGAGGUCAUCAUGCUAAAUUCAUGUCAUGUUAGAAUGUUGUAUUAAAUUUUGGAUAGAGUUGUGGCCUGUUUUCUAUCCUUGAUCCGUAUUAGCAUAAUUAGUUCAUUUUUAUAACUUGAAUAAUUGUCAUUGAUUGAUUUAAUGCCGAAUAAAAUGU